rnacentral:lncRNA from 1 species
AAGGGGCUGGGGCUCACCAGCAGACCAGGGCACAGGAUGGGAGCUUCUGGAUGAAGUGGGUCAAGUCCCGAGUCAGCCCAGAGGAAGCUUCAACCAGACUCCAGUCAGCCUGCACAGUUGGAGCAGCAGUCGUGGUUGUACUCACUGAGGAGCCCAGAGCAGUGCCAGAAAGAGUACUCUCUUGGUGUACCCUGGAGAGCUGUGGAAUACACAAGCCCGGGCCUCAGACAACAGAGAUUGAAGGACACUUCAGGCUUCUGGUCCGUAUGCCACUCCCAGAGAACUGAAUAACCUUCCUUGUUCUCAGUCUUCUCCAGGUGCUGGAAUUGCAGGUCUGGCUAAGAAUCUGAGCAAAAUCCUUCCAUGAUCAAGAUUGGGCUCAGCAUAUUUCGAAGCCCUUUUGCAAUCACCCCCAGGAGUUUCUCCCCUUCUUUUCUAAGCCAAUGGCCAUCUGACUGCAAACAGAUGGCGAGCGUGUGCUGGUGCUGCUGAUUCCUGGAUGCCAUGGAAUGGUUUGCAAGGUCUUCCUUCUGUAAAAACCUGUAUCAACUCACCUUCCAGUGUGACCAUUGACAUGGCACCAUGCUCUUCAACUGGUGGGGCAGAGCCCAGUGUGUUCUGGAUGGGAAGCCUUCUCCAGAACCUGUCCUGUGGACUGGCAGCCCGGGGCCUCUCAUAGGUCCUGUCUACAGGGGAACAUCUUCCAUCCUCCAGCUGGAUCAGUCUGUGGCCACCCCUGCUUACUCUUUCUGCCAUCUUUUCACCAAAUACCCCUUAUAGAUGAAUUUCAAAGCAACUGUGGUUUUCCAUGUUGGCCUCGUCAUCCUUUUCUUCAGCCUCUACUGGAAGACAUCCCCCCAAGGGACACUGGAGUAGGACCAGGGACAAAGACGGAUGGAGCUGUCCUCAUGGAGACUUGGGCAUAGCUGCUGACAGCAUAGCUCUCAGUAGACCGUCUCCCUCAGAGCUGCGGUUCAUCCAAUGAAAGAGGAGAAUCCCCUCCUCCUAGAGUUCAGGAGGAAUGCAGUGGACUCAGGCUUCAUACCCCCUGCUCAUGUGGCCUUAUAACUAUUUAUGUACCACUUGUCUCUACUAGCCAUAGUCCUUUAAUGGAAGGAACUGCCUUCUUUUUGGUGGUCACUGUACUUGGCACCCAUCUCAACAAAUGUGCCUCUAAGACUUGUAUUCUGCAACUUGUGGUCAUGGCCACUGGUAAAGAACAGGUCUGGGUGUGGACAAAGUCAAGAAUGUCUUGCUAUUUGACCUGCAGUGGGAAACUUGCUUGAUUUCCAAUGUAGCUAUGAACAGUUACCUCCUACUCCACAUACAUAGCUUUUCACUUACCACUCUCUGCUCAUGUGGCUUUGUGGUUGUAUGAUUCCAUAGUAUGCUAUUACGGUGAGAGAAAGGGACAUAUGCAUGGCUCAGAAUUGUGUUCUGUCAACUUGUAGAUUUUUCUGCUUUGUUCAAUUGUGUCUUCUAUAAAUAUCAGCAAAUAAAAUUAUCUAAGAUCUAUGAUUCUCCUGUCUCAGUGGGAGACACUAAGAACUCUGAAUGUAAAUAGUGCAAAAAGCUGCUAUAGAGGGAUGGUUGAUCUUUAUUUAGUUCACACAUAGAAGUCUCCUGAUGCCCCGCUUCCCACCCAGCAACGCCUGAGGCAGGUGGGAGAGCUGGCCCUGAGGUCAUAAGAGCUGCCCCUGUCUCUCACCAGCAGCAACACUAGGGAGAGCAGACCUGGUACCUCCCUGGGGCAGCACAAUAGAGCCACUCCUGCUGGUGAAGGUGUGGAUGAG